UCACCACCUCCUUGAAUCCUGU
rnacentral:miRNA from 2 species